CCUAUCCCUGGGAUAAUAGUAUGAUACUACCGACAGAACCCUCCACACAAUCUGCAGACCUUCCUGUUGGCAGGCGGUUUGAACCGUGUUAUGAUUGCGUACUCGGCGGCAACUGUGACGAAUGUUAUAAGUGGGUUCAUCCAACUGGUGUACCUGAUAUAAUGUAUCCAUAGAGAUUGAAAUAGAGUGAUGCCCAGAA